UAAGGCAGCAAGCUGGCAGAAACGUUAGCGCGCCGGGUGAAAUGCUUAGCAGUAUUUCGUCUGCCGUUAUGUUCUGAGUUCAAAUUCCGCCGAGGUCGACUUUGCCUUUCGUCCUUUCGGAGUCGAUAAAUUAAGUACCAGUUGCGCACUGGGGUCGAUAUAAUCGACUAUCCCUCUCC